rnacentral:lncRNA from 1 species
AAUAAACUUGAUGUCUGACUGAAGACGUAAAACUUAGCGCUUGUUGGGAGGCAACCCAACGAUUUCAUAUUUUUUUUACUUUACUGCAGCUACAGAAAUUUAGAACAAGAGCCUAUUAAUCAAUGAAGCUAUCUUCAACUUUCGAAGUAAAAUUAUCCCAGGUGCACUCUCUCCUUUUAUUUUCUUUGCUUUCCUACUCUAUUGAGGACAAUAUAGAUUAAGUUGGGGGGA